GUCAGGUUGGCCGAGCGCUCCAAGGAGCUGCGUUAAGGUAGCAGUCUCCCCCUGAGACGUGGGUUCGAAUCCCACCCCUGACA
rnacentral:tRNA from 1 species